UGGUGUGUUUUGUAAUAAAUCAGGUUCAUUUGGUGAUUAAUAAUAAUAAAAAAAAUGCUUAGAGUGGCUCCUGUGUCUCGAAAUGGGGACAACCCAUUUCAUAGCUAGUUCAGGUGAUUUUACAAUAAAUAUGAUUAGAUUGUUGGUUCCAAAUCAUUAGAAGCCAUGUUCUCUUGUAAUUUGAAUUGCCAGAGACAAAGCUCUUGGACUGAUUUGUCUUCGAUUUCCGAGAACUAUGUAAAGAGCCUUUCAUAUUUACAUUUGAACAUAAAAUUAGAUUCUGAUUAAGUAGAUUCUUUAUCAGUGUGAGGGAAAAAAAAACAAGAACUGAGAAGAACGAGGUCUUUCAGACAAUUUAGAGAAUUGGUUCCCACCGAAGAGAAUGAAAAAUGCAGCAUGAAAAUAAGGGAGGAUUAAAACCUCAAAGAGGAAGCAAAGCAACCCCGCUAAAAGAGAGAACAGAACUGGAACCCUCUUAAUAUGGGCCUGGUCAAAUCCCCAACAUUUAGUAGCUACUUGAGGAUGAAUGAAUAAUUGAACAAAGGGACUGGGCACUCAAACGGUGGUCCUUGAAUCAGCAUCAGUGAGUCACGAAGGACAUGUGAGAAAUGAAGAAUCUUGGACGCUACCCUGGAUCUACAAAUGAGACUCUGCCUCUUAAAUAAGAUUCUCAGGUGAAACUAAUCCGAGAAUCACACUGUGCUACAGAAGUUUUGGUUUCUUUGCUGUCCAUCAGCAGGGAGAAGUGAAUGGCUGGAUGUGAAGGUACAUACUUCCUUCAAAUUCCUCCUCUUCUUUCCCAUCUUUUUGUUGUUAUUUUGGGGCCAAACCCAGCUAUGCUCAGAGCUUACUCCUGGCUCUGUGCACAGUGACCUAUGGGAUUCCGGGGAUCAGCAGAAUACAAGGUAAGUGCCCUACCCUCUGUUUUAUCACCCAGCCUCAUCUUCUUUCCCUUCUUAAGUACACAUUUAAAUAAGUAGAUUUAUCUGGAAUUUUUCUCAUAUGCAUUCUCUUUGGGUUUAAAAACUGUGAUUUGGUGGGGGUUGAAGGAGGUGACUAUGUAAAAUAAAACUGGGUUCCCUGUUAUCAAGAUACUGAACUUUGGGGGCCGGAGCGAUAGCACAGCGGGUAGGGCGUUUGCCUUGCACGCGGCCGACCCGGGUUCAUCCCCGGCAUCCCAUAUGGUCCCCCAAGCACCGCCAGGAGUAAUUCCUGAG